GCUUUCCACCAAAACCCUAAGACACCAGUUUCCCCGGAACACGUGAUUUUCUUGCCUCAGCUUCCACAGUGCUGGAAGUAUAAGUAUUAGCUGCCACGCUUUUUAUUGUUGGAGGAUUCAUGGCUAAUUUUUUUCAUUAGAGAUACACAAUGCCUGGGGCUCCUUUAAUGAUAUUGGCAGGUCCUGAUUAAUGUCAAGAUCUGUGAGUCAUUGGGUGCAGGAAGCGGGUGUGGCACAGGCCCCGUGAAACCCACUUGUUUACUGCCUUGCCCGAGCAUGCGCAGUGAGGCUGCAUGCAUGGGCUGCCUGCCAGGCUGGACUGUUCCUCAUGGUCCAGACCUGUCAGCCUAUUGGUGACCGACCUAAGCUCGUGCCUGGAACGUGUGUGAAUUCUGAUUGGAUGAGGUGGGGUGGCGCUAGAGGGAGAGGAGUCGGGAGUAGUGAGGAGAGUUGUUGUUUAGCCCUUGCCCUAGGUAGAAGCCAGAAGUAGAGUAGUGAGGAGUUUUAAGCCCUUGCCAUGAGUAGAGGUAGAGUAAGAGAAGUCGAAUAGGAGUAGUUUAGCCCUUGCCCUAAGAAGAAGCUGCUGGGGAAGAGAGCUGUAAAAGAAAAAGCCCGAAGUAAAGUUGCUGCGUGAACCCGACUUGUGUCUGUGUCGUUCAUGUCUCCGGCUCGGAGGACUUGCGACAAAUGGUGGCCCAUACGGGGAACUCAUCGUGUCAGUCAGCAAAGACUGAGCAGAUGGCUCAUCAGGUAAAGCACUUGCCACACAAGCCUGAGGAUCAGAGUUUGGAUCCCCGGAACCCACAGGAAUGAUGAGCAGGGUUUUACUGCUGUGAACAGACA